GCACAUUUACACACAGAUGACCAGAUUACUGACGCGAUGAUAGAUCAUAUGGGUGAGAUUUUGUUGGCAGGCAAAAUUAAAGAGGAUAAGUCAGAGGAUUUGGUAGAAUGUGGCAUAUGGGAUUUUGCAGGUCGAAAAGAUUAUUAUGUCGCACAUCAGACAUUCUUUAUUCAAAAAGCUAUCUAUAUUCUUGUUGCAGAUAUACGGGAAAC
rnacentral:lncRNA from 1 species